rnacentral:rRNA from 1 species
UGGGGAAUAUUGCACAAUGGGCGCAAGCCUGAUGCAGCCAUGCCGCGUGUGUGAAGAAGGCCUUCGGGUUGUAAAGCACUUUCAGCGGGGAGGAAGGCGAUAAGGUUAAUAACCUCAUCGAUUGACGUUACCCGCAGAAGAAGCACCGGCUAACUCCGUGCCAGCAGCCGCGGUAAUACGGAGGGUGCAAGCGUUAAUCGGAAUUACUGGGCGUAACGCGCACGCAGGCGGUCUGUCAAGUCGGAUGUGAAAUCCCCGGGCUCAACCUGGGAACUGCAUUCGAAACUGGCAGGCUAGAGUCUUGUAGAGGGGGGUAGAAUUCCAGGUGUAGCGGUGAAAUGCGUAGAGAUCUGGAGGAAUACCGGUGGCGAAGGCGGCCCCCUGGACAAAGACUGACGCUCAGGUGCGAAAGCGUGGGGAGCAAACAGG